rnacentral:rRNA from 1 species
AGUGAACGCUGGCGGCGUGCCUAAUACAUGCAAGUCGAACGAUGAAGCUCUAGCUUGCUAGAGUGGAUUAGUGGCGCACGGGUGAGUAAUGCAUAGAUAACAUGCCCUUUAGUCUAGGAUAGCCAUUGGAAACGAUGAUUAAUACUGGAUACUCCUUACGAGGGAAAGUUUUUCGCUAAAGGAUUGGUCUAUGUCCUAUCAGCUUGUUGGUGAGGUAAUGGCUCACCAAGGCUAUGACGGGUAUCCGGCCUGAGAGGGUGAACGGACACACUGGAACUGAGACACGGUCCAGACUCCUACGGGAGGCAGCAGUAGGGAAUAUUGCUCAAUGGGGGAAACCCUGAAGCAGCAACGCCGCGUGGAGGAUGAAGGUUUUCGGAUUGUAAACUCCUUUUGUUAGAGAAGAUAAUGACGGUAUCUAACGAAUAAGCACCGGCUAACUCCGUGCCAGCAGCCGCGGUAAUACGGAGGGUGCAAGCGUUACUCGGAAUCACUGGGCGUAAAGAGCGCGUAGGCGGGAUAGCAAGUCAGAUGUGAAAUCCUAUGGCUUAACCAUAGAACUGCAUUUGAAACUGUUAUUCUAGAGUAUGGGAGAGGUAGGUGGAAUUCUUGGUGUAGGGGUAAAAUCCGUAGAGAUCAAGAGGAAUACUCAUUGCGAAGGCGACCUGCUAGAACAUAACUGACGCUGAUGCGCGAAAGCGUGGGGAGCAAACAGGAUUAGAUACCCUGGUAGUCCACGCCCUAAACGAUGAAUGCUAGUUGUUGUGGAGCUUGUCUCUGCAGUAAUGCAGCUAACGCAUUAAGCAUUCCGCCCUGGGGAGUACGGUCGCAAGAUUAAAACUCAAAGGAAUAGACGGGGACCCGCACAAGCGGUGGAGCAUGUGGUUUAAUUCGAAGAUACACGAAGAACCUUACCUAGGCAAAGACAUUGAUAGAAUCCGCUAGAGAUAGUGGAGUGCUAGCUUGCUAGAACUUGAAAACAGGUGCUGCACGGCUGUCGUCAGCUCGUGUCGUGAGAUGUUGGGUUAAGUCCCGCAACGAGCGCAACCCUCGUCCUUAGUUGCUAACUAUUCGGUAGAGCACUCUAAGGAGACUGCCUUCGCAAGGAGGAGGAAGGUGAGGAUGACGUCAAGUCAUCAUGGCCCUUACGCCUAGGGCUACACACGUGCUACAAUGGGAAGCACAAAGAGAUGCAAUAUUGUGGAAUGGAGCAAAUCUAUAAAACUUCUCUCAGUUCGGAUUGUAGUCUGCAACUCGACUACAUGAAGCUGGAAUCAAGGGUAAUCGUAAAUCAGCUAUGUUACGGUGAAUA